rnacentral:rRNA from 1 species
UACGAAGGGAGCUAGCGUUGUUCGGAAUCACUGGGCGUAAAGCGCACGUAGGCGGAUUUGCCAGUCAGGGGUGAAAUCCCGGGGCUCAACCUCGGAACUGCCUCUGAUACUGCAAGUCUCGAGUCCGGAAGAGGUGAGUGGAAUUCCUAGUGUAGAGGUGAAAUUCGUAGAUAUUAGGAAGAACACCAGUGGCGAAGGCGGCUCACUGGUCCGGUACUGACGCUGAGGUGCGAAAGCGUGGGGAGCAAACAGG